AACGAACGCUGGCGGCAUGCCUAACACAUGCAAGUCGAACGAGACUUUCGGGUCUAGUGGCGCACGGGUGCGUAACGCGUGGGAACCUGCCCUUAGGUUCGGAAUAACUCCCCGAAAGGGGUGCUAAUACCGGAUAAUGUCUUCGGACCAAAGAUUUAUCGCCUUUGGAUGGGCCCGCGUUGGAUUAGCUAGUUGGUAGGGUAAAAGCCUACCAAGGCGACGAUCCAUAGCUGGUCUGAGAGGAUGAUCAGCCACACUGGGACUGAGACACGGCCCAGACUCCUACGGGAGGCAGCAGUGGGGAAUAUUGGACAAUGAGCGAAAGCCUGAUCCAGCCAUGCCGCGUGAGUGAUGAAGGCCUUAGGGUUGUAAAGCUCUUUUACCCGGGAUGAUAAUGACAGUACCGGGAGAAUAAGCACCGGCUAACUACGUG
rnacentral:rRNA from 1 species